CGACUUGAUGAUGAAGAAGUCGCGUCGUACAUCCUAUCGGGCCUCGACAUCGAGUACAAUCCUGUGGUGUCGGCUGUUGCAGACCGUACUGAGCCAAUCACUCUUGGUGAGUUGUUUACACAGCUUUCAUCCUUUGAAC